ACGGAAGGCAGCAGUGGGGAAUAUUGCACAAUGGGCGAAAGCCUGAUGCAGCGACGCCGCGUGAGUGAAGAAGUUAUUCGUAACGUAAAGCUCUAUCAGCAGGGAAGAAAAUGACGGUACCUGACUAAGAAGCCCCGGCUAACUACGUGCCAGCAGCCGCGGUAAUACGUAGGGGGCAAGCGUUAUCCGGAUUUACUGGGUGUAAAGGGAGCGUAGACGGCUUUGUAAGUCUGAUGUGAAAGGCAGGGGCUCAACUCCUGGACUGCAUUGGAAACUACAGAGCUUGAGUGCCGGAGAGGUAAGCGGAAUUCCUAGUGUAGCGGUGAAAUGCGUAGAUAUUAGGAGGAACACCAGUGGCGAAGGCGGCUUACUGGACGGUAACUGACGUUGAGGCUCGAAAGCGUGGGGAGCAAACAGGAUUAGAUACCCUGGUA
rnacentral:rRNA from 1 species